ACUCCUACGGGAGGCAGCAGUGGGGAAUUUUGGACAAUGGGCGCAAGCCUGAUCCAGCCAUGCCGCGUGCGGGAAGAAGGCCUUCGGGUUGUAAACCGCUUUUGUCAGGGAAGAAAAGGUUCUGGCUAAUACCUGGGACUCAUGACGGUACCUGAAGAAUAAGCACCGGCUAACUACGUGCCAGCAGCCGCGGUAAUACGUAGGGUGCAAGCGUUAAUCGGAAUUACUGGGCGUAAAGCGUGCGCAGGCGGUUAUGCAAGACAGAGGUGAAAUCCCC
rnacentral:rRNA from 1 species